CUAACUUUACUCAAGCUUUGUAACACACCUCCCCAUCACAUUUCCAUCCUUCUCCGGGACUUGCCUUCUCCAUCUCAUCGUCUUUGGUUCCUUUGUCUUCUUCCAGUGCGCACUUGGGGUGGAGAUCGAAAUCACAUUCUUCACAAUAGAAUGACCACAAGUGUCCCUGCUUCUCACACCCAUUACAUCCAUAAACGCGACGCUUAGUGAGCACAAGCUCAUGCUCUUCAUGAAGGGCAUGUUUCAUCUUCUCAGGCCACCCCUUUGCCAUCUCCUCAUACUGCGCCUCGAUCUCCUUUAUAUGUUCUUCAGUGAAAGGAUAAGCAUCAGCCCCAUGAAUCAUAACAAGAUUUCUGGCUUCUGUUGUGACAGUCCGGCCAGUUGGCCCAAUGGCUAUGAGCGAGGGGAUGCCAUGGACCUUGAACGUGCGACUCAGGGAGGCCUUCCUUUUAUCCCCAAACGGAAGUGCCAGCCAUGGCAUACCUGAAAAGAAUUCAUCGAAGGAGGUCUGGUCCUUGUCACUAGAGAUGAAAAUCACUUCGAAUGCUUCAUCCUUUGUCUUAAUCUUCUGGUAUGCUUCAAUAAGUUUUGGUAGAAAAGCACGGCAUGGGGGGCACCAAUGUGCUGAGAAUAUAGGAGAUGUUCUUCCCCACUAGAUCAGACACGGGAAUCUGAANNNNNNNNNNNNNNNNNNNNNNNNNNNNNNNNNNNNNNNNNNNNNNNNNNNNNNNNNNNNNNNNNNNNNNNNNNNNNNNNNNNNNNNNNNNNNNNNNNNNUACCUGCGAGGAUUUGAGAUUGGAGAGUAGCAGAGGAAAAUAGGGCUUUUUAGGGAUUCUCUCGCUGGAAGACACCUUCAGAAAAGGGUUCUUGAUGCCCGAGAGAGAAGUGGGUGCCUUUUUUAUUUUUUUUUAUUUUUAGAUUUAGGGGAGAUAAAAAAAUAAAAAAUAAAAAAUAAAAAAAACAUGAGAACAAUUUUCUAUAAAUAAUUAUUAAUUUUCAACUUUUAUUUGGAUUAUUAAAUAAAUUUAUAUUAAUAAAAAAAGUUGUUAUCACAUUUUUUAAUAAAUUUUAAAAAUUAAAUCUCAAAUAAGAUAUUUUAUAUAAAUUAAUUUAAUUUAUCAUUUAAAAUAUAAUAAAAUAUAUAAAAAAAUCAUGAGAACAAUUUUCCACUCUCUAUAUAAAUAAUUAUUAAUUAUCAACCUUUAUUUUUAUUAUUAAAUAAAUUAAUAUUAAUAGAAAAAGUUAUUAUCACAUAUUUUUAAUAAAAUUUUAAAAAUUAAAUCUCAAAUAAGAUAUUUUAUAUAAAUUAAUUUAAUUUUUCAUUUAAAAUAUAAUAAAAUAUAUUUUAAUAAAAAUAUUUUAAAAAUUUUAAAAUAAAUACUGUCUUCAACAAGAUGAACUCCCUUCAUCUAAUAAUAUAUUGAAACUACAUCGAUAUCUUUCUUAGUAUAAAGACUAUUGCAAUCUCAUAUUUCUUAACUCAAUUUUAACUUUAUACACUUUCAAAAUUCAUAUAUAUUAUUUUUAAAAUUCAAAUAUCGAAUCUACCAAUAUAUCUCUAUUUACGAUAUUUUUCCUCUUAAUUAUAUAUAUAUCAAUUACACUUACAAGAUAACUUUAAAAUGUGUAUUCUUACUUAUGUUAUCAUUUUUUGAAGUUUUUUCAAACAUUCAUAUUAAUUUUAAAUAAUUUUCACUCCACCGAUAUUUAUGAAAAAAUAUCCACCGAUAUUUCUCCGAUAUUUCCGAUAUAUCCGUAAAAUUGAAGUACCGAUAUAUCUGUAAAAACCGAUAUUUCAAUCCUUGAUCAAGAGAAACAAUAUUUCAAACCCAAUCUAAUAAGUCCAAACAAAUAACAAUUUAACAAUAGACCCAAAUCCAAAUAAACAAUAUGCAAUUGAUAUAAUCUAAAUAUUCUCAAAUUAAUCACCAAAUACAAUAUGCCCAUAAACCCAAAUUAACAAAUUUUAAAUUAAUUCACUAACAAUAAAUUAAAUCAAAUUAUGUAUUAAUCUACCAACAACAAAUUAACUCAAAAUUUCAUAAUAAUUGAAUAAUCCAAAUUUCAUAAACAACAAUUACUACUAAAAUAAAAUAAAAUAACAACAAUAACAAUAAUAAUAAUAACAAUAAUAAUAAUAACAACGAGAACGGAUGAGAUGGGAAGGGGGUUGCCGGCCGCCAGUGGAGCGAGAGAAAAAAUGGAGAAAAAAAAAGAGGGAAGGAGAAAAGGAAAUGGGAGGCUCGGCCACCUAAAAAAUGGAAAAGAAAAGAAAAAAAACAAAAUCCAAAGGGAGAAAUGAGAAGAGAGAGAAGAUAGAAGAUAUGAAAGCGUGGGUGUGUGGCCGGCUUGGAAGGGAAGUGGAGUGUGGGGAGAGAGAAGGAAAAAAAAAAAAUCCAUGGGCCAUGUGUGUCUUCGGGUGGAGAAAAGAGAGUAGAAGAAUGAGGGGCCGAAGAAUGGAGGUGGGGGCGGCAGAGAAAAGGGUGGAAAAUAGGAAAAAAGAGAGAGAAAAGAGGAGAAAAAACGACAGAGGAAAAAGGAAAGAGAAGAGAGGAGGAAAAUCUUGGGACAAAAUGAUGGGGGGAAAAGAAAGUGGGGGGAAGAAUGGGAAGAGAGGAGGGCCGAAGAAUGGAGGUGGGGACGGCAGAGAAAAGGGUGGAAAAUAGGAAAAAGGAGAGAGAAAAGAGGAGAAAAAGCGGCAGAGGAAAAAGGAAAGAGAAGAGAGGAGGAAAGUCUUGGGACAAAAUGAUGGGGGGAAAGAAUGGGAAGAGAGGAAAAUCUUGGGACAAAUGAUGGGGGGAAAGGAAAGUUGGUGGGUGGGGAGGUGAAAGAAUGGGAAGAGAGAGAAGAAGAAGGUGGGGUGGUUGGGAAAGAGAGAGGAGAGAGGAGAGAGAAAAGAAAAAAAAUAAAAAAUAAAAAAAUAAUAAAAUAAUAGUAAUAAUAAUAAUAAAAUAAAAGUAUUAAUAAUAAAAUAAAAUAAAAUGAUAUACAAAAUAAUAAAAUUUAUUAAAUGGUGAGUGAGCCAAGGGCUCAAAAUUAACGUAAAGAUAAAAUUCGGAUAAAUUUUGGGGUUUAUACAUGUAUUCAUCUUCCAACAACCAAAUCUUUCAUUUUUUUUUUUCAAAAAAAAAAAAAAAAUUAAAGUUUUAGGGUUAAAUCACCUUACCUUAAAUCCAAAAAUCUAACCAUUGAAACUAAAAUAUGAUUUUGUAGGAAUGUUCAUCGUGUUGAAUAGAAUAUUCUUAUAAAAUUUGAGGCAAAACGAAGAUCGUUUGAUAGGUUGACUAACGUACCUAAGUUGAUAGCCCUUUUUCUUCCGCUCCUAGUUGACCUUUUCUUUCUUUCUUUUAUUAUUUCAACCGACUACUUCAUUUUAUAUAUAUAUAUAUAUAUAUAUAUAUAUUAAUACAACUUUAAAAUACCAUGCUUAUCUCUUUUAAUAAAUUAAACCAUUAUCCUUUAUUUCAUAUUCCACAAUUAUAAAUUAUACUUCAUUUAUGAUUUUUUGUCUUAUAAAAAAUAUUAUUGUAUUCUUAAUUAAAUUUGCUACAAACUUGAUUUUCAAAAUAUAUAAUUUGACUUUAAUUAUCUAAAAUAUUUUGACUUUAAAAUUCACUUAGGACAUGAUUCUAUUGACUAUUAAAAAAAUCAAUUUCAUAAAAUCUCUUAAACAUAAAAUAAUUUUUCGACAUACAAUAAGUUGAAAUUCAUAAUAAUAUUUAACCCCUUGAUUUUAUCAAUAUUUAUUUAUCAACAAAAAUUUAAGCAUUAUUCUAAAACUUAGUUCUAUCAAUUAUUUAGUCAUUCAAUUCAUAAUAAUUAAAUUAAUUCUCAUAAUAUGCUUAAUAUUCAAAUUGUCAAAAUCUAAUCUCAAUUAUUUGAUGAUCAAUUUUUUUUUCAAAUUUAAAUUUAAUUUAUAAAAGUCUUACUUUUUACAUAUGACGUGGUAGAAUUUUCAAACUAUUAAUUUUUCUAAAAUAUCUCAUAAUUAAUAUUAACAUCGUGGAUCUUAACUAUUUUUUUUAACCAUUUGACUAACAAUUUUAUAAAAACUUUUCUAAUCCUGAAUCUUAGUGUCAUUAAAAACCUGGGUAUUACAAAACUAGAGAUCACCUCUGCAUCUGGCACUAGUGGUGCUCCACCCCAUUACAAAUGGCAACUCUCAUCACAUCACAAAUGAUUAAUUAUCAUCAAAGAUUAAGGACCUAUAGUAACAUAGUCUUAUACACCUGCCAAAGAAAACUUCAGGCUUUAUUAACGGAGUCCUCUCAAACUCAUUGUGCUAUUAAGCAAACACACAUGGCUAGAAACCAUAGUCAUCCAACCACACACAUUUAAAAUCAACAAGAGUAUUUAUUAAAGAGAGACCUAACUUUACUCAAGCUUUGUAACACACCUCCCCAUCACAUUUCCAUCCUUCUCCGGGACUUGCCUUCUCCAUCUCAUCGUCUUUGCUUCCUUUGUCUUCUUCCAGUGCGCACUUGGGGUGGAGAUCGAAAUCACAUUCUUCACAAUAGAAUGACCACAAGUGUCCCUGCUUCUCACACCCAUUACAUACAUAAACGCGACGCUUAGUGAGCACAAGCUCAUGCUCUUCAUGAAGAGCAUGCUUCACCUUCUCAGGCCACCCCUUUGCCAUCUCCUCAUACUGCGCCUCGAUCUCCCUUAUAUGUUCUUCAGUGAAAGGAUAAGCAUCAGCCCCAUGAAUCAUAACAAGAUUUCUGGCUUCUGUUGUGACAGUCCGGCCAGUUGGCCCAAUGGCUAUGAGCGAGGGGAUGCCAUGGACCUUGAACGUGCGACUCAGGGAGGCCUUCCUUUUAUCCCCAAACGGAAGUGCCAGCCAUGGCAUACCUGAAAAGAAUUCAUCGAAGGAGGUCUGGUCCUUGUCACUAGAGAUGAAAAUCACUUCGAAUGCUUCAUCCUUUGUCUUAAUCUUCUGGUAUGCUUCAAUAAGUUUUGGUAGAAAAGCACGGCAUGGGGGGCACCAAUGUGCUGAGAAAUAUAGGAGGAUGUUCUUCCCCACUAGAUCAGACACGGGAAUCUGAAACAAGAGCAAUUUGUCACUGAUAACAAGCAUAAUGAGGGAGAGUAUUGCAAACUGAAAAAAGGGACACAGGGCACCCUGUUGCAUCGAACAACAUCACCUUUUAACCAAGAUCCAAAAACAGAUGUUCACGCAUCUACUGAAAGCAGAUCUUACCUUGACUCCAUCUUUCCCUAUCACAAAGUCUCUGUCCCCUGAAACCAAAAUUGACUCCAGUGUCUGUGCUUCCCGUUUUGCCUUCUCAAUCUCCUCAAGCUCUGCAAACUUCUCUGGGGUAAAAGGGUAUGCCUGAAUCCCAUGUUCUUGGAUUGCCUCGGCAACAUUGGAGUGAAGAGUCUUUCCAUCUGGCCCAAUAACAACCAAAGUGGGCAGGGCUGAGAGCUCAAAGUAGCGAGCUAGUUUCUCACAGCUCUUGUCCCUGAAGGGCAAUGCAAGCCAAGGCAUGCUUCCAAAAUAUUUUUUGAAUGAUUCUUCCUCAUCAUCAAGUGAUAUCAUGACAAUUUCAAAGCUCUCCCCCUUUGCCCUUAAUUUCUCGUAAACAUCCACUAGCGUUGGAGUAAAUUCAAGGCAUGCCUUGUAGGAAGACAAUGAGAAAAACAGCCCAACGAACUUCCCUUCUAGUUCAGACACAGGCACCUUGUAUUGAAAUAGUUCAAGAAAAAAUUCAGACCAGGAAGAAACAAUAUAAAUCAUGUUCAAAUUCAUAGAUAUGAGAAUAUAUAUUUCUUAAAUAACUCACCUUCUUUCCAUCAGUUGAAAUUACAUAGUCACGGGACUGAGAGACUAAGAUGGAUCUCAAGGAUUGUUCCUUCCUGGCUGUUUCUUCCUUCUCUUUCAUUUCUUUGAUCUUUUCAGGAGUGAAAGGAUAAGCUUCCACUCCAUACUCUUGUAUGAUAUCAACCCCAUCUUCGCUCAAAACCUUGCCAGAUUCAUCAAGCAUCACAAGGUUUGGAAUCCCCAUCACCUUGAACAGUUCAUUCAACUGAUCUCGUGCAUCUGAAUCAGAAAAUGGGAUUGCGAGCCAAGGCAUCUUGGAGAAAUAUCCAUUGAACGACUCAUCAUCAUUAUCACCUGAAACAAAGAUGAUUUCAAAAUCAUCGUUGGAGGAGAGUUCAUUGUAGGCCUCAACUAAUUUAGGGGUGAACCGCCGACAUGGCCCACACCAUGAUGCUGAAAAAUAUAGCCAAAUUUUCUUCCCCUUCAAACUCUCAACUUUAACCUGCAAAACACAGAAUUUAGGCCCAUUAAACCCUUUGCUGCUCAAAACUGUUAACAAUAGUUACGACUCUUGGUUAAUUGGGUCCGGCUUCUUUUUCCCCCCUUAAUCAGAACCUGUUUCAGCUCCUUUUUCAUUAGGAACGCAUAGUUCCUUUCAAGCUUUCUUUUACGGUAGAAUAAAAACAGAGAAGAUGGGAAAUACCUGGUGGCCAUUGUUGCGGACAAGAAAGUCCCGAUCCUCUCUUGUGAGAAGCGAAACCAAAUCGUGAGCAACGCCAUCAACGUUUUCGCUAUCCAUGUCUUCUGAUUUUGAUCACAAUUUUUUAGCCUGUGCCUUUGCACUUUGGUGCCCAGCUUUUAUAGCAGCUAAGUCGAUUAGGGUUAAGCUAACCAUCCUUGAGGGUGAAGAAAACCAAAGUCGACGUUGGUGGUGUACGUCAGAUGCCCAACGUCAGCGUGGGCCGCGGUCCCCUCUAGGGAAAAAGACAUAAGUUGCGUGGCUGCAUAUCGUAAUGAUUGUACUAAGAUUCUCAAAGUUUAGAUAAGGAGAUAAGUAUUGAAGAAAGACGUGUUUCUCAUCCGACCUCAUGAGCUCGUAUUCCUGGUGACAAGGACCCACAGUCUCUCUUUCACCUGAUUAGACCCCAUUAAAACAUAAAUGAAAAGAAUAAACUGAGAAUCAUCUUGGAAGAUGCCCAUGAAAAGUGGCACGAACUUAUUUAAUUGCUCUCAUGGAAUAAGAAUGAAAAGAUUGUAAGUUAAUAGUUUAUAGUUCUUUUACUCAAAUAAUUGAGCUUAAAUUGAGCAUAAUGUAGGUACCUUGUUAGCAUAAAUUUUCAUUUCUUAAUAAUUAAACAAAGAUAUUUUUUGCUUGAAAAAACUUGAGCUUGAUCUAUGCAAGAACACAAACAUUUAAAGAUAUGACUCUGUUCUCUAACCUUGGAUAAUAUAGAAUACACAUGUUUUACUGCCCUAGGUAAAUCUUUAUGAUCUAAGGAGGAAUUCCGAGCGAAGUACCUUUCACUCGGCUUUGGCUGGAGCAAUGAGAGUGGUUAGGGAAAGUUGAUGGAAUCUUACAUCUCUCCUUGACUUAUAGUUGGUUUUGACCAUGAACCUUGGAUGGAAAAUUUUGGUAUAAAAGUGAAAAAAAAUCGUUGUUUCAAAAACCUCAUCGUGUCAGCAUCCUUUCCUGGUGGGGAAUUGAACCUGGGACUCAUGGUUAACAAAAUGAGUAGUACACCACUAUACUAAACAACAUUUAAUUAAUAAUUUGGUAAAUAUCUAUAGAUCUGUUUUUUUAAAAUUUUUAUCACAUAAAACAUUUAAACAAAUAUAAAUAUUUAUAUCUACUAUUAUUUUUAUAAUAAUGAUUAAUUAUAAGCAUGAAAAUAAUAUAAAUUAAUCAAUAUAAUAAUUUAUUAACAUAUAAAUUAUAUAUUUAUGAUGUCACUUAUCUGACCGCGAUUUGACCAUUGCUUCGAUUAGUGAAUCAGUAAUUUUUUCGAUUCAAUGUUCAGUCUGAUUUUGAAAACAUUGAGAAAAAACUCACUCUUAUGGAUUUUUUAUCACCUUACUUUAUUUAUUUUUUCUUAUUUUUAGUUUUAGGAGUAGGAGUAGGAUUAACUUAGUUUAGUUUAAUUUUAGUUUCAGUUGUAAUAUUUAAUUUUUAUAUAAUCUUUCAUUAUUAAUUUUCAUUGUAAUGAGCUUUUAAUUUUUAGUUAAUUUCAAUUUCAAAGUUUAGUUUUAAUUUCUAGCUUUCUUAUGGUUUGAGUUUCUAGAGAUUUUAUUUCUUUGCACCUUUACUUUCUUCUAGACUUUACAUUUCUUUCUUGCCUUCAAUUUCAUCACGUUUAGCACCAAGGGAUAACUGUGUAGACCCCUUAAAAGACUAAGGGUUUUUCCAGUUGGUUUGAGGGACCACUCGGGUGAUUUUUUUUGAAGCGAGGAGGGGACCCCUUUUCUGCCAUGAAGGAGCUGCAUUGGACACGUGGACACGGCAAGAGGUAGGGGCGACCAUGCUGGUUGUUGAGGAGCCUUGCUUACUUGAUGGGUGAACAGCAGAGCCGGUAAUGACUUGCCAAGGAAGACAGGAACAGGAGGUUUGAGAGGGAUUUUUUUAGAGAGAGAGGAGAGGUAUAGAAAAGGAGGAGAGGACUCUUUUCAUGGUGGCCGUGAUAGAGACUCGGAGCUGGGGGGAAAAAGGAGUUAUACUGAUCUGGGAGGAAGAGAAAAUACAGGAAGCUGAGUAAGCACUGCCUGAGAAGCUCAGGUAUGGCCAACAUGGAUUUCUUUGUUUUGGAUUUUCUUCAUCUUCCUUCUCUAUUAUUGCUGUGAUUUUGUUACAGUUGAUUCUGGUCACAUUCCCUGGAGUUUUGUUUGAGCAUGAACUGUCUCUGUUGCAGCUUUCUUAUAAAAUGUCUAAAUCAUGCCUGGGUCCUAGUCUAAAAUAUAUUGAUCUCACUCGCCUGCGUUUAAGUACAUGGAUUGUAAUAUGAAACGUGGCUUUUCGCUGGUUCAUUUUAUUUCAUUCUUUUAUGCUCUGUUUUUUGUUAUCUUCCCCUGUUCCGGGCACCCAUCCAUGGCAUACACCAAAUUUCCUAUCCUUACAUGGAAAGGGAAAGGUAAGGCACCGUGUGAAACACGCUCUCAGUCUGUGGGGUAUGUAGAUCUGCGUUCAUGAGUCGGUCAUGCCGUGGUAUCGAGUUCUCCUUUAUUGAGGGUAAACAGAGUUGGUGUCGCCAAGUGGGGAUGGGAAGGAUAUGUUGCUAACAGAGCAGCCCAAGAAAUGUUUCUUCAUCUAAGAACGAAAUCAUUCGCUGGAAAGUGUAUCAAUGAUCUCCACUGCUGUCUGUUUAGACACAAUAUGGAACGCCUGGUGGCGUAGAUAUUGACAAGGUGACCGAGCACCUAUGUGAAAACUACGGACGUACCAGACUUGAAAAAUCCAGCAUGGAUUUCUCUGGAGAAUGCAUGAUGCGCCUGUAGACAUUUCUGGGAAUUUCUGGCAGGUCCAGAGUUGAUAUUAACAACCCUCUGGCACUCUUAAUUGGAGAACACUAAGGUCCAAUUCGACUCUCCAUGCAAUGAGUAGCCUCUCUGAUGCUUAUGAAGAUCAUCUUCUGGGUACCGAACUCGCUGAAACCUGUUUCGGAGCUGGACGAUGGUCCUUGCAUAGGGUCACACUUGGAGAAUCUAAGUUCAGAGAGCCAUUCUUCAAGAUCAGCAGCAGCGAUAACGGCGCUGCAUGGGUACCAUGAUCAUCAACAGAAAUCAUUCCAUUGUUUGAAUGUGGGAACAUUUUUAACGAGAUGACCAUUUGCAAUUUACACGACCACCUCCCUCUCAUACCUAUUUUCCUCAUACUCCCAUCACACAACAAGCCAAACCAUUCCAUCAUUCCCCUCAGUACCUCCUGCAUGCAAAUCCAUUGUUCCCAAACCCAUUGCCCAUAGCCGAUACCUAUCUCACCAUAUUCUUCUCAUUUUUUUCUUCAAACCCACUGCUUAUACUUCGUGCAACCAUACCCACUGCUAUCCACCCGCGUACACAUCCACCUUUCAUAAUGCCCAUGCAUGUUGCCACCUUUUCUCUCUCUACCCCACAUACCCUUCAUACCCAUUUUCCCCCACUACCCAUUUCCUAUCUGUGUGCAUGGAACCAUGCGUACACGGCCACCCUCAUCCUCAUGUCCCUCAUACUCACUACCCAUAUCUCACCCCCUUAUGCAUUUCCAUUAUUUCCAUUACCCAGCAUGCCUAUAUUCUUCUCAUAAUGCAUCUAAUAAACCCAUUUUUUCUAAUUCCAUUUCUAUUACUUACCUCACCUAUCGUUUUUCCCAUCAUUCUAAUCAUUGAACUCACACAUCUCACUUCCUCUCACCACUUCCAUACCCACCUUUCAUAAUACCCAUCUUCACACCACCUUUUCUCUCUCAUACCCAUUUUUCUAACAUACCCGUCACCACCCGUUUCUCUCUCUAAACUUAUUCACACCCAUCUCCUGCACCCAGCAGCCGCAAACCACCCAUUUUCCAUCUCAACCCGUUCGGCUGUUCUGUGAUUGAUGGACCUCAUGGUGACAUGGGUCUCACGACUCUUAAAAAAUAGGUUUUCGUUGAAGAAGCUCCAUGUCGUUCUAUGGUAUUUGGAGGACGCCCCCCGCCCACGAGCAAGUAUUUGCUGAAGCCUUUUUGUUUCCCACUGAUGGCAUUAAUGUUUAAACAAAUUGGUGGAUAAAAGUUAAAGACACGAGUUUUUUAUAUUAUUUUUUAUUCUUCAUUGGUGGCAUGGUUCCAGCAGGCUUCAAGGUGGUUUAUUAUUAUUUUUUCUCUUUUCUCCCACGUGCCAUCUUCUUAAUUCCACUUUACAUGUUAAAAUUUUCAUUUUUCUGAAAGCCCUGUUAUCAAAUAAUUCUUUUAAAAAUCCCAACAUUUCAAAUUCAUUCAUUUAUUCAUUUAUUUUAUCUAUUUUAUUCAUUUAUUUUUUAUUUGUCUAUUUAUUUAUUUAUUAUUUUAUUUAAGAAUAUAUAUAUAUAUAUAUAUAUAUAUAUAUAUAUAUAUAUAUAUACACGUAUCAUUUUCAAAAUAAUCUCGUAAAAUGUGAUUUUUAAAUUUAUUUUAUGAAACUUCAGAUCUAACAUUCAAUUUUCCAAAACUCCAAUAUUUUAAGUUUAAUUUUUCAAAAUUCAAUUCUCGAAAUAAUUUUCUAGAACUCUAACUUUAAAUAUAAUUUUCCCAAAAUUCAAAUAUUCAGUUCCAAUAUUCCAAAAAUUUCAUUAUUCACGUUCAUUCGUUUAAACAUUAUUUUUGUUAAUAUUAUUAUUAUUCCAUAUUUAUUUAUUUAUUUCUUUUAAAAAUUUCGAUCAUUAAAGUUUAAUUAUUAAAAAAAUUCUGACUUCUGAAUUUAGUUUUCAAUCUAAAAAAUUUUCACUAUUCACAUUUAUUCGUUUAAACAUUAUUUUUAUUAUUAUUAUUAUUCCAUAUUUAUUUAUUUAUUUAUUUUAAAAUUUCAAAUCAUUAAAGUUCAAUUCUUGAAAAAUCUGACUGUCGAAUUUAAUUUUCAAUCUCAAAUAUUCCAUUAUUCACGUUUAUUCGUUUAAAUAUUAUUCUCAUUAUUAUUAUUAUUAUUAUUAUUAUUUCAUUCAUUUAUUUUACAAAUUCCAAUAAUUAAAGUUCAAUUUUUCAAAAUUUCGUUUUCCAAAUUUAAUUUUCAAUCUAAAAAAUUCCACUAUUCACAUUCAACUGUUUAAUGAUUAUUUUCGUUAUUAUUAUUAUCCCGUUCAUUUAUUUAUUCACUUAUUCAUAUAUUUAAAAAUCUCGUCUCCAAAUAAUUUCUCAAAAUCUCAAUCUUAAAUUCAAUCUCCUAUCUCUAAACUUCUAUUUUUGGCAAUUAUUUACCUAAUCUUUAUUAUUUCAUCAUUAUUAUUAUUUCACUCAUUUAUUUAUUCGCUUAUUUGUUUAUUAAAAUUUCGUCUUUAAAUAAGUCUUCAAAAUUCCAAUUCCCAAAUUUAGUUCUCUGAAAUUUCAAUUCCUUUCAAAUUUAAUUUAUAAAAUUCUCAUUCUUAUAUUUAAUUUCUAAAAAUCCAAUUUUCAAAUAAUCUCUAAAACUCCAAUUUUCAAAUAAAUUUCAAAAAUCCAGUUUUCCCUCAAGUAGUUUUAAUUUCUAUUUAGUGACACAUGUGAUAUGUUUUGUACUCUUUAUUAUACACUGACCCCAUUUUUAUGAUAGCGCAUUGUUCGUUCGUGGCCCAGGUAUGCAUCUCUUCCCAUUCUGGUCAUUCUCUAUGCAUGUUUUGAUUCCUAUGUGUGCAUGAUCGAUUUGAGUAUCCGUUGGUUUUCCUAUUGAUUACCCCGUCAGCUUCAUCUUAUUAGUAGAGAUCCGAUUUUAGGGACCUAGAGGGGUGCUAUGGUCUUUACCGUACUUUCCUGAUAAGUAACCUGAUUCUCGAGCCCGAUCUGGUUUUUUACAGACCACCUUUUUCAAAAUAAGGAGUCACACUUAGGGUUUUCUUUUUUAUUUUAUUUACUCUCUUAAAAAUAAAACAAAUAUAAGUGGCGACUCCAAAUCAUAUUUUUUUUAAUAAAUAAAAAUCAUUUUCGAAUAAAUAUCGAUCUUGUCAUCGAGUGGAAAGCGCAUAAACUGAAAUGCGGGGUCUACAAAAUGGCAUUAAGAUUCUUCCAUAUCUCAACUUAGCUCUUUGAUGGCUUAAAUGUGUUUAAAAUGGCAGAUGAUGAAUGUUGUUGUAGUGGUUACAAGGAUUGAAAGAAAGAAACCACGAGAGUAAAAGCUUGUAGCACCGGUUGCAAGAACCAGAAGAGGACAACUUAGGGAGCCAAUUGAAAUAGCCUUCUUGAGCAAAGCACAAACCUACAAGAUUGAAAUGAAACCCAUUUGUAGGGUGAGUUUAGUAUUGUUGAUAUGGUUCUUAUUCCAUAUGACUAGGAAUCUUUUGGUAUAGAUCCAUAGCUUGGAGGAGGAUUUGGGCUAGGAGUGAUGAUCUCAAUGGAUCUUUACUCUUGGUGUUUUACACGACCAUAGAAUGGUUUAGGACCCGGUAUCUCAUGGGCUGCAGAAAUAGGCCCAAUUGGCCAGGGUGUGCAAGGUCGCGGAAAUAAUCUGAUAGUCCCUUCUCCUUCGACAGUCCUCUUUGAAAUCCCAUUUCAGUAGCCCUAGACUCCGACGAUCCUACACCUUCAAAUUAAGGUAAAACAAAUUUCUCUCCCGUGUUAGAUUCUAAAAUCCCAUUUCUGAACUCCUUUUUUCUUCUCUCAUUUUCCUUUCUCCUCUUUCCACCUCUCCAUUGCAUCAAAAUCGUAAAUAAGAUGGAUUUGUUUCUAUUCAAAUCCAUUAUCAAUGGUUGUUAAAUUUUCUUUUUGAUUCCUUCAAUUUGAUUUUUAAUCUCUUGUUUAACAAAUCAUUUGAUAGGAAUUUUUGUGCUACCAUUUCAGUAGCAGAUUGCAUAUUCAUGUGGUGAUCACUCUUCACAAAAUCGUCAUUGUCGCUCCUCUGGUACUUCUUUUUUCAUUUACACGCGCUAAAUUUUCUCUAACAAUUUGUAUUCUAGGGUUACUCUGUUUUUGCUAUUUUAGUUUGCGAAAGCCUGUUUAUUUUGCUAUUGCAUUUGCUUUUGGGCUCUCUAGAGUUCUAUCACUCCUUUUGCCUUAAAAUUGCAGUUACCUUUAGGAGGAGUGGAAAGAGAGGCAUAAGGAAACUUCGGAAGAUAUAUCUUCUAAAUUCUUCAAUUCGCGAUUUGUCCCACUUGAGGUAUUAACUCUAGCCUUAGCAGGCAUAAAGAAACUGUUAAGACUUAUUUAUUGCGUUGCGAAAAGAGAUUAUAAGUGAGGAAUUGCCUUUAUGCUGUUUCUAGCAGCCUCCUUAUCAUAGGAAGGAAUGACUUUAUGAUGAUAUACAGAAAUGGCUAAGGGGGUUGAUUUAAAGGUUUUUAACAUAUAUGCAUUUAAUAUUUACUUUUGUUUGAUAUUCAGAUUGCAAAUUAUAUUUACAAAAUUUUGAUGCAAAAUAUUGUGGGAAUUUAGCAUAGAACUGGGAGCUGAUCAAGAAUGGUGAUCUUGAUUAAUAAUGCAGGUCAAAAGAUUUUGAGGUAGGGUUGUAGUUACUUGUCACAAUUUUGUGGGACUCUGUAGAAACUUUCUUAAAGAUAUGGAAAAAUUAACCUGAAUUUCUCUCUCAAGAUUUCAAAGGAGAUUACGAGCAGUUUUGUGAAAGAAAAUAUGUGGUCAAGUUUUGUUUUAUUAACCUGAAUUAUGUUUUUGUUGAAGGUUUUACAGGUUUUAAGGAAGAUAUCCAAAUUUAUUUCUGAUUUUCCUGUAGCAGCAUUUGAUCGUGUACCACUUUCAUAUUUAUCAGCUAAUUUCACUUUCAACACUGUUAACUACGUAGGUUUUUUGUAGAUAAGUGAUCAUGCAUGUGUCCAGAAUAGACAGUGGUUUUUUAUCCUUAAUCAAUUUGUUUGAAUGAAUUUACAUUUGAUAGGUUGCUGACUUGUAUGGAAUUAGAGCUAGCCUUGUGGAUGGUGGUGAAAUUUAUUAUCAUAAAAUCAUUGUUGUUUUGUGAUAGGUGAUUUAUUAUCGUGAAAUUUAUUACCAAAAGGCCUCUAUACUUCAUGUAUCUUGUGUCCCACCAAUAUCUGAUUCUGUAUUUUCUUCUUUGUGGAUGAUCAUAUCUCGGUAGCAAUGGGUUGCAACAGUUCAAUUUUUUUGGCUCCCAAGUUUACUAAAAUUAGGUUUUGUAUAUUAUUUUUUAACUGGCUUAUGGAAUAUAGAUUUCAGCACAUCAAUCCUGGGCCUCAUACUCUGUUUCUUUUAUUGUUUUCAAACUGAUCUAUGGUUUUACAUUUAUUUAACAGUUUUUUCUCCUAAAAAUAUGUUCAGAGAGAAACAUAAGCCACCAUACUGAUAUUUCCUGCUUAUUUUUCAAUCACCAUCUGGUUGUAGCCAUUUAAAGUCUGAAAUGUUGUCUGCCUACCUAUAGUAUAGGUUUCUGUCACAUUAUAUAGAGACAAAAUCCUUCCCUGCUUUUGGGGUUUAUUUUAAAAUUUAAAUGCUUCUCUAUUUGUAGGGAGGAAAAAUCCAGGACUUGCUUUUCCAAAUACUUGAACAAGAAGAGGAUGUCAUGAUAAAACAAGGUGCACAAUCUAGAGAGAGUCGACUAAUGGCUUCUAGGUAUGGUGCUCAAUCCAAAACUUAUUCAAAUAGGGCCAAACCAGCCUUUAAAAUGAGAUGCCUGUAUGUACAUUUAGCAACCAUAUAUGUUUCUCAACAAUGAUCAAUAUCUAUGCCCUAUAUUGCUGUAAUUGAAUUUGUUUUCUAUGCAUGUCUUGUUUGAGUUGUGAUGCAGUGGUUUAAUGAUCACCUGGAUUUCAUCCAAAGAGCAUGUUUAAAUCUUUUUUGACUGAUUGUGGUAUUGUUCAAACUUUAAAUCUUUCUUGACUUGAUUGUGGAACUGUUCAAACUAAUUCUUGUUUCCUUUGAUAAAAUAUCUAGAAGGAAUGGACAAUGCCUUCAGUACCAGCUGGAUGGAAUGGACAUACCAAUCAGGAGAAGAUGCAUCAUCUUGCAACAGGUUUUAUAAUAGUAACACCUUAUUUGGUAAGAUCAUUGGAUGGAAAUUUAUUGAUAGAGGGAUCCUUAUUCUUUUUAAAAAAAUUAUGAUAUAGGAAAGUGAUUGGAGCCAGGUAUUAUUUGAGUGGCUAUGAAGCUGAAGAAGAUCUGAUAAUGUCUGUGUCAUUCAAAUCCCCUAGGGACAGUUCUGGUCAUGGCAGCCACACAGCCCCAACAGCUGCAGGCCGGUAUGCGACAAACAUGAAUUAUAAGGGCUUGGCAGCUGGAGGUGCUAGAGAAGGUGCUCCAAUGGCAAGGAUUGCAGUGUACAAGACUUGUUGGGACUCAGGGAGAUUAUUUUAAUGAUGCCAUCUCCUUGGGGUCAUUGCAUGCUGCUAGCCAUGGGGUAGUGGUAGUUGCUUCAGUUGGAAAUGAAGGAAAUUAAGGUUCAGCAACAAACCUUGCUCCAUGGAUGAACACUGUUGCUGCUAGUUCAACAGAUAGGGAUUUUAUAUCUGAUAUCGUAUUAGGAGAUGGUGCUAAUUUCAAUGUAAUGCUAUUUCCUUGUUAAUGUCUGUAGAUUUAUACAUUAUUCUCAGGCUCUUAAAACACUUCUUGGUCAUUGAAUAGGGUGAAAGUCUGAGUCUGUUUGAAAUGAAUGCCUCCACAAGCAUCAUCUCUGCUUCAGAAGCCUAUGCAGGAUACUUCACUCCCUAUCAAUCCAGGUGAAGCAGAAGGUACCUGACAAUAAGUAUAGUCUUAUAUAUUAAUGCAUAAAUGAAAAAUCUCAAGUUAUGUUUUCUUGUUUACUUGUCCCUCUAGCUACUGUUUGGAGACUUCCUUGAAUAAUACUAAAGCCAGACGGAAGAUUUUGGUAUGCCAACAUGCUGAAAGUUCAACAGAUUCCAAGCUGGCAAAGAGUGCAGUAGUCAGAGAAGCUGGUGGAGUUGGAAGGAGCAUGGGGACAGGAUUCUAUCCUAUAUUAAUCAUACAAGGUUUUUUUCUACUCUUUGACGAUGAAGAUUCGGUGUGAGAUAAUUGAAUCACUUUGUGUUUCUCAUUUAAGGCUAUUCCAUUUACAUGAAUAGCAAACCGGUUUCUAGAAUUUUCCCUGCAAAAACUGUAUUGGGAUCUCAUCCUCCUGCCCCUCGAGUUGCAGCAUUUUCUUCAAAAGGUCCCAAUGCCUUAAUCCCAGAAAUUUGGAAGGUAUAUUCCUACUAAAGAUCAUCAAAUUUUAUGUGGGCUGCUCCUUUAAUUACUUGUUUUUAAUUUUAUUCAUGCUUUAUUUCUGAUUAUUCUUCUUUGUAGCCUGAUGUCAUGGCUCCUGGAUUGAAUUUUCUUGCAGCCUAGUCUCCAGCAAUUGAGAAAAUGCAUUUCAAUAUUCUCCUCUGGAACUUCUAUGGCUUGUCCGCAUGUAACAGGAAUUGUGGCCUUGGUCAAAGCCACCAGCUUUGUAUAUAAUGUCUUGCAUUAAGGAAGCACUCACCAGUGAUUUACUUACUAUUAAAUAUAAGGACCUAAAAUCCAUGGUAACCUUGUGACAAAAUACAUGCUCCUCUAGGCUUUGUCAACAGUGUCAUCCAAAGCUCGUUAUGCUAGCUGUUACAAGCACACAUAUAACUAAAAACCAUAGCCAUGGAAACAAAUAUUUAAAAUCAAAAGGAGCUUUUACUGAAGACAGCUCAAACUUCUCAAGCUCUGGAGCAUACUUCCCCAUCACAUUUCCAUCCUUCACCAGGUUUUGCUUUCUCCAAUUUAUUAUCAUCUUUGAUUCCUUUGUCUUCGUCUAGUGCGCACUUGGGAUGGAGGUCGAAAUCACAUUCUGCACAAUAGAAUGACCACAAAUGUCCCUCCUUCUCACACCCAUUACAUCUAUACAUGCGAUGCUUAGUGAGCACAAGCUCAUGCUGUUCGUGAAGGGCGUGCUUCACCUUCGCUGGCCACCCCUUUGCCAUCUCCUCAUACCGCGCUUCGAUCUCCUUUAUAUGUUCAUCAGUGAAGGGAUAAGCAUCAGCCCCAUGAAUCAUAACAAGAUUUCUGGCUUCUGUUGUCACUGUCCGGCCCGUUGGUUCAACGGCUAUGAGCUUGGGGAUGCUCCUGACCUUGAAG
rnacentral:lncRNA from 1 species